GAAGCUGGAUUCGCUAGUAAUCGCGCAUCAGCCACGGCGCGGUGAAUACGUUCCCGGGCCUUGUACACACCGCCCGUCAAGCCAUGGGAGCCGGGAGUGCCUGAAGUACGUGACCGCAAGGAGCGUCCUAGGGUAAGACCGGUGACUGGGGCUAAGUCGUAACAAGGUAGC
rnacentral:rRNA from 1 species